GUCGCUUCGUCUUGAAAAGCCUGCAGCCCCCGGGCGAGACGCGACUAGGCGAGCUCUCCAAAUCAGCUAGUAGCUAGCAGGUUUGGAGUCGAUCGAGAGCAUGUGGAGGCUGAAGGUGGCGGAGGGCGGCGGCCCGUGGCUGUGGUCGACGAACAACUUCGCCGGCCGGCAGGUGUGGGAGUUCGACCCCGACCAUGGCACGGCGGAGGAGAGGGCUCAGGUGGAGGAGGCACGACGGGGGUUCGCCGACCACCGAUUCGAGCUGAGGGAUUCCGCCGAUCAUCUCAUGCGCCUUCAGUUCGCAAAAGCAAAUCCUCUUAAGCUUGAUCUUUCAGCUACCAAGCUGGAAGAGGAAGAAGAUGUUACAGAGGAAGCUGUAUCAACCUCUUUGAGAAGGGCAAUCAGCCGCUUGUCUACACUUCAGGCACAUGAUGGGCACUGGCCUGGCGAUUAUGGUGGUCCUAUGUUUCUUAUUCCAGGCUUGAUUAUAACAUUAUAUGUCACUGAAGCAAUGAGCGCAGUUUUGUCAUCAGAACAUCAGAAGGAGAUCCGUCGGUAUCUCUACAAUCAUCAGAAUGAAGAUGGAGGCUGGGGAUUGCACAUUGAGGGCCCAAGCACCAUGUUUGGCUCAGUCUUGAACUAUGUUAGUUUAAGAUUGCUUGGAGAGAGUCCCAGUGGUGGAGAUGGAGCUAUGGAGAAAGGUCGAAAUUGGAUCUUAGGCCAUGGAGGAGCAACACUUACAACAUCAUGGGGGAAGUUUUGGCUCUCAGUACUUGGUGUAUUUCACUGGUCUGGCAACAACCCGGUGCCACCUGAAGUAUGGCUGCUGCCAUAUUGCUUGCCAUUUCACCCAGGUCGAUUAUGGAGUCAUUGCCGACUGGUGCAUUUGCCCAUGAGUUACAUUUAUGGAAAGAGGUUUGUUGGCCCAAUUACCCAAGUUGUGUUGGACUUAAGGAAGGAACUCUUUAGAGAUGCCUACGAUGAGAUUAAUUGGGACAAAGUUCGUAAUCAGUGUGCUAAGGAAGAUCUUUACUGUCCACACUCAUUCGUUCAGGAUAUCUUAUGGGCCGCUCUCCAUAAGUUUGUUGAACCAGUUAUGUUGGAUUGGCCUGGGAGCAAAUUGAGGAAGAAAGCUUUGGAUAUAGUCAUGCAGCACAUUCAUUAUGAAGAUGAGAACACUAGAUACAUUUGCAUUGGCUCUGUAAACAAGGUAUUGAAUAUGCUUGCUUGCUGGAUUGAAGAUCCGAACUCAGAGGCAUUCAAACUCCAUAUUCCACGAGUAUAUGAUUACUUGUGGCUUGCUGAAGAUGGCAUGAAGAUGCAGGGUUACAAUGGCAGCCAGCUAUGGGACACAGCUUUCACUGUCCAAGCCAUUCUGGCUGCUGACCUUAUCGAAGAGUUUGGUCCCACACUAAAACUAGCACAUGACUACAUUAAGAAUUCACAGUUUCUUGAUGACUGCCCUGGAGAUCUGAACUACUGGUACCGCCACAUAUCCAGAGGUGGGUGGCCCUUUUCUACAGUGGAUCAAGGUUGGCCUGCAUCAGAUUGCACUGCAGAAGGAUUAAAGACUUCUUUGUUAUUAUCAAAGAUUUCUCCUGAAAUUGCUGGCAAACCAGUGGAAACCAAUAGACUUUAUGAUGCUGUCAAUUGUUUGAUGUCUUAUAUGAAUGAUGAUGGUGGCUUUGCAACGUAUGAACUCACAAGGUCCUAUGCAUGGCUGGAGCUUAUUAAUCCUUCCGAGACUUUUGAGGACAUAAUGAUUGAUUACCCGCAUGUUGAAUGUACGUCGUCAGCGAUUCAGGCCCUGGCAUCUUUCAGAAAACUCUACCCUGGCCACCACAGAAAAAAGGUGGACAACUGCAUUAUCAAAGCUGCUAAUUUCAUCGAGAGUGCUCAAAGAAGUGAUGGUUCCUGGUAUGGUUCAUGGGCUGUUUGUUUCACCUACGGCACUUGGUUUGGAGUGAAGGGAUUGACAGCUGCUGGUUGGACGUUCAGGAACAGUCCUGCAAUCAGAAAGGCAUGUGACUUUCUGUUGUCAAAACAGCUUCCUUGUGGUGGCUGGGGAGAAAGCUAUUUGUCAUCACAAAACCAGUGUUAUUUGGUUUCCUAAUUUAGGACAGUGAAGAUCAACUCAAGAGACGACGACAACAACAAAGGAUUUUAGUCCCAAGCAUGUUGGGGUAUAGUAGGUUAAAGAUCAACUUUUUUCUCAAACAUGCUGGACAGCUGCGUAUCAUUUCACUAGGAGGAAAACAGGCACAAAGGACCCACACAAAACGCACUCAAUCGUGCAUGUGCGCGCACCAGUCAAUACAUUCUGCGCACCACUACAGGCGCGAUUAAAAUAAAAUAACUGCAGCCCACUCCAAUUUCCACGUAUGCGGCCUAAAGGAGCCUGCACGUGAGGGGGGGUGUUGGAGUAUAAGUGAAUUACCCACUUCUCCCCAUCAGCUUAAGCUUUUGGGUUGAAUUGGUUGGUGCAUGCAACUCAAUAGAGCACGCAGUUUCAAAGAGAGACAUUAUUUAUCUGAUGAAGAGUUUACCUUCUUUCUUCCCCUAUGUUCACCUUUAACAGCGCAUGUAGCUAGUAGGUAAAGCAACGGUUUAGUCACGAUUCUUAGAUGCAGAUAGCUUUCUUAGAGACUGUAUAAGACCUUUGCUCUAACCAUCUUUCAAUCUGCACUUAAUCAGGUUUACACUGAUCUUGAAGGCAGGCGACCUCAUUUAGUAAACACUAGUUGGGCCCUUUUGGCCCUAAUUGAUGCAGGACAGGCUGAAAGAGAUCCAGUUCCUCUACAUAGAGCUGCAAAGGUUUUGAUCAACUUACAAUCAGAGGAUGGU